rnacentral:rRNA from 1 species
AAGUGUGACAGGGCUAUCCCGAGUGCCAUCCGCUGAGGAWGGCUUUUACCCAGUCUAGAAAGCUGGGGGAAUAAGGAGAGGGCAAGUCUGGUGUCAGCCGCCGCGGUAAUACCAGCUCUUCGAGUGGUGUGGAUGUUUAUUGGGCCUAAAGCAUCCGUAGCUGGCUAGGUAAGUCCCUUGUUAAAUCCACCGAAUUAAUCGUUGGAUCGCGGGGGAUACUGCUUGGCUAGGGGACGAGAGAGGCAGACGGUAUUUUCGGGGUAGGGGUGAAAUCCUAUAAUCCCGGGAAGACCACCAGUGGCGAAGGCUGUCUGCUAGAACGCGCCCGACGGUGAGGGAUGAAAGCUGGGGGAGCGAACCGGAUUAGAUACCCGGGUAGUCCCAGCUGUAAACGAUGCAGACUAGGUGUUUGGACGGCCACGUGCCGUUCUAGUGCCGCAGGGAAGCUGUUAAGUCUGCCGCCUGGGGAGUACGAUCGCAAGAUUGAAACUUAAAGGAAUUGGCGGGGGAGCAC